rnacentral:rRNA from 1 species
GUGGUAAUGCCGGAUGCUCCAUCACACCGCAUGGUGUGUUGGGAAAGCCUUUGCGGCAUGGGAUGGGGUCGCGUCCUAUCAGCUUGAUGGCGGGGUAACGGCCCACCAUGGCUUCGACGGGUAGCCGGCCUGAGAGGGCGACCGGCCACAUUGGGACUGAGAUACGGCCCAGACUCCUACGGGAGGCAGCAGUGGGGAAUAUUGCACAAUGGGCGCAAGCCUGAUGCAGCGACGCCGCGUGAGGGAUGGAGGCCUUCGGGUUGUAAACCUCUUUUGUUAGGGAGCAAGGCAUUUUGUGUUGAGUGUACCUUUCGAAUAAGCACCGGCUAACUACGUGCCAGCAGCCGCGGUAAUACGUAGGGUGCAAGCGUUAUCCGGAAUUAUUGGGCGUAAAGGGCUCGUAGGCGGUUCGUCGCGUCCGGUGUGAAAGUCCAUCGCUUAACGGUGGAUCCGCGCCGGGUACGGGCGGGCUUGAGUGCGGUAGGGGAGACUGGAAUUCCCGGUGUAACGGUGGAAUGUGUAGAUAUCGGAAAGAACACC